AAUGAUAGAGGCGCAGGGUUCAAGAGUAAAUAUUAUGGAGGUAAGCACAGUGAAGUAAUAUGAAAGGGGAAACUGCCGAAGUGAUAAAUUCUAUGCUUUAAAAAUUUAUUGCUGGGCUUGUAUAAAAUAUAUACAAGACUGUCACAUUUUUGUGGAGAGCUAUCU
rnacentral:ncRNA from 1 species